rnacentral:lncRNA from 1 species
AUUAGUCCAAAAGUCAAGUGGUUGUUAAAAAUGAGGUAUUGGGGCCUCGUUUUCUUAAUUUUAGAUCGUAAAUAUUUUUAUUAAAUAUUAUAGAGUUGUAUUAUAUGUGAAUUGAAGUUUGGUCCAAAAAUUUUGAUGAUUUAUUACUUAAUUAAGGUAAAAGGAUUAAAUUGAAAAAGAGGUAAAAGUUAAUUGUUAUAGAUUUAAAAUAGUAAAGGGACCAAAAUGGUGAUUAAACCAUGGUCAAAAAGUCCAAG